rnacentral:rRNA from 1 species
GUGAGGAAUAUUGCGCAAUGGAGGCAACUCUGACGCAGCCAUGCCGCGUGCAGGAAGAAGGCGCUACGCGUUGUAAACUGCUUUUGACCGGGAAGAAACCCCAGGACGUGUCCUGGGUUGACGGUACCGGAGGAAUAAGCACCGGCUAACUUCGUGCCAGCAGCCGCGGUAAUACGAAGGGUGCAAGCGUUAUCCGGAUUCAUUGGGUUUAAAGGGUGCGUAGGCGGAGCGUUAAGUCAGUGGUGAAAUCCUGCAGCUUAACUGUAGACUUGCCAUUGAUACUGGCGCGCUUGAGUGCGCUUGAAGUGGGCGGAAUGUGCCGUGUAGCGGUGAAAUGCUUAGAUAUGGCACAGAACACCAAUUGCGAAGGCAGCUCACUAAGGCGAUACUGACGCUGAGGCACGAAAGCGUGGGGAUCGAACAGGAUUAGAUACCCCAGUAGUCC